AAAGAUUUCUACGAAGAAGGGACAACCCCAUUCUCUUAAGCCGAGACUGCUGGGUUCUUUGAAGUCUGAGGACCCAUACUUGCGUUCAUCUCCUUUUCCCUACGAGAGGAAGGACAUGGCCCGAGGAAGAUUAGGAAUUCUGGUUUCGAGGUCCGACACUCCGACCUGUGGCAAUCGAUUAGCUACUAGCGCAGUCAAGUGAUCGACUUCGUUUGGUACAGCAGGAUCAGAUAGGACUCAGAAGGAACGCAAGCAACAAUACCCAACAAUAGCUAUCGGAGACGAAUCAAAAACUCAGGAACCGCUACCGAAAACCGGAAUCACAAUGAAAUCCGACGUCACCCAAAAACACAAUUUUGAGUUUACAGAACCCGAUUACAUAUCAAAAACUUCAUUCGAGCAUAUCAACAACUUCACAACCAUUAUCAUGACAAAGUUUCAAGUCUACAUAACCCGAUUACAUAUCAAAUCCAAACACUUGAGCCAGCACGAAAGAGCCCCCGGCUAUUCCAAUUUCCAAACAUGGCCGCUCACUCCCUCUCCAAGCUUCCAGCUUUCGUCUCUGCCUUGAAUCCCAAUCAAACAACCAAACCCGAAUCGUGUUCUCUACCUCUGACCACGACUUUGAAGCCCACAAGUCUACAGAAUCUAUGGCUCGGAACCAACAGUACGUCUCGGAGUCAGAGCCCAACUGCCAAAGCUCCGACCUUUCUCUUCCACAAUCUGCCUCAGCCUCCCGACCGCAUGCUUCUGAUUUUAUCAUUACAGAAUCAAGGAGAGAGUUUCGUCCAAUGAGGAAGUGCCCAAAUGGUCUAGCAGGGCUAUAAAGUCAUUUGCCAUGGGGGAAUUGGAAGCCAGGAAGCUCAAGUACCCAACCACUGGGGAAGGCUGCUUGUGCAGUUGUUUCCUGGCUUCUACCUUAUGCAUAAAGGCUUAGGUUUUAAAUUUAGUCCAAGACUUCCAAGUUAUGAUCCAAAACAAAUGGAACCACUUUGGCUUCAAAAUUUUUGCGGGCAAAUGGACUUACAGUGUUCAAGGUGCGUGAAGAAACCAUCAAGUUACUUGGGAAAGCUGAUAUGUACUUUUUCAGUCCUGAGCAUCCUGCAUUGACUGACGAAGCUCAAAGAGUGCUCGACUGGGCCGUUGAUAAGAAAAUAAAAUCUGGUGGUAGUGGCGAAAUUACAACAUCUCAUCUGCUUCUUGGCAUUUGGUAUGAAGUGGAUUCACCGGGUCACAAGAUAAUGGCCUCCCUUGGCUUCAAUGAAGAGAAAGUGAAAGAGCUGGAGUCUUUAAUUUCUGAUGGAUGAUAUUUUCCCUUCUUCUUUUUUUUUCUGUUCACUGACCUAUGGUGCAAAUUUCUUUACCAAUGCAUGGAUCAAUGAUGUUGGUAGGAGUUUUUUAAUGGCAUUUGUCGUUCCUGAAUGUUUGUUUGAAUCUGAUUCUGAACUGGUCCUAGGUUCAUUCAAUACAAGAAAUGUUUUCUUGUGUUUAA